rnacentral:lncRNA from 1 species
UUCUUUUUCUAGCAAUUUUUUACAAUCCUUUGGUUUAAAUGACUUUGUGAGGGUCACCUAUACCGGAGUUGCCUUUUUGCUUUCUUUUAUUUUUUUAUUUUUUUCUGGAUCAUUCACUUAUUUGCAUCGGUCCCCUACGUAGAGGAUGCGUAGGCCGGAGCUGACUGCUGAGAUAAACUACUAAGGACUUAUAUGGAAAUGAUGAUUAAGGCCAUGGUAUAUGGGGUUUCGGGAAUGAUUCCUAUAUUUACGAAGCUUAUGGUGCUAAAACAGAUACUGAUGUUUCGCAAAGUUCUCCCAAGUCACCGCAUCCUU